rnacentral:rRNA from 1 species
CGCGUAGGCGGAUUAACAAGCUAGUGGUGAAAGACCAGGGCUCAACCUUGGGGUUGCCAUUAAGACUGUUAGUCUUGAGAACAGUAGAGGGUAGAGGAAUUUCCGGUGUAGCGGUGAAAUGCGUAGAGAUCGGAAAGAACACCAGUAGUGAAGACGUCUAUCUGGGCUGUGACUGACGCUGAGGCGCGAAAGCGUGGGUAUCGAACA